GUUGACCUCGGAUCAGGUAGGAAUACCCGCUGAACUUAAGCAUAUCAAUAAGCGGAGGAAAAGAAACCAACAGGGAUUGCCCUAGUAACGGCGAGUGAAGCGGCAACAGCUCAAAUUUGAAAUCUGGCCUCGGCCCGAGUUGUAAUUUGCAGAGGAUGUUUCUGGCGCGGCGCCUUCUGAGUUCCCUGGAACGGGACGCCAUAGAGGGUGAGAGCCCCGUACGGUUGGACGCCUAGCCUGUGUGAAACUCCUUCGACGAGUCGAGUAGUUUGGGAAUGCUGCUCAAAAUGGGAGGUAUAUCUCUUCUAAAGCUAAAUAUUGGCCAGAGACCGAUAGCGCACAAGUAGAGUGAUCGAAAGAUGAAAAGCACCUUGAAAAGGGGGUUAAACAGCACGUGAAAUUGUUGAAAGGGAAGCGCCCAUGACCAGACUUGUGCCCGGCGGAUCACCCAGCGUUCUCGCUGGGGCACUCCGCCGGGUCCAGGCCAGCAUCGGUUUUCGCCGGGGGAUAAAGGCUCUGGGAACGUAGCUCCUCCGGGAGUGUUAUAGCCCUCUGCGUAAUACCCUGGCGGGGACCGAGGUACGCGCUCCGCAAGGAUGCUGGCGUAAUGGUCAUCAGCGACCCGUCUUGAAACACGGA
rnacentral:rRNA from 1 species